rnacentral:lncRNA from 1 species
AUGCUAUGCUGUAGUAAAGUAAUGCUCAAAAUUCUCCAAGCCAGGCUUCAACAGUAUAUGAACCACGAACUUUUAGAUGUUCAAGCUGGUUUUAGAAAAGGCAGAGGAAUCAGAGAUCAAAUUGCCAACAUCCGCUGGAUCAUCGAAAAAGCUAGAAAGUUCCAGAAAAACAUCUAUUUCUGCUUUAUUGACUAUGCCAAAACAUUUGACUGUGUGAAUCACAAUACACUGUGGAAAAUUCUUCAAGAGAUGGGAAUACCAAACCACCUGACCUGUCUCUUGAGAACAGGUCAGGAAGCAACAGGUCAGGAAGCAAUAGUUAGAACUGGACAUGGAACAACAGACUGGUUCCAAAUAGGAAAAGGAGUACGUCAAGGCUGGAUAUUGUCACCCUGCUUAUUUAACUACUAUGCAGAGUACAUCAUGAGAAACACUGGGCUGGAGGAAGCACAAGCUGGAAUCAAGAUUGCUGGGAGAUAUAGCAAUAACCUCAGAUAUGCAGAUGACACCACCCUUAUGGCAGAAAGCAAAGAAGAACUAAACAGCCUCUUGAUGAAAGUGAGAAAGGAGAGUGAAAAAGUUGGCUUACAGCUCAACAUUCAGAAAACUAAGAUCAUGGCAUCUGGUCCCAUCACUUCAUGGCAAAUAGAUGGGGAAACAGUGUCAGACUUUAUUUUUCUGGGCUCCAAAAUCACUGCAGAUGGUGAUUACAGCCAUGAAAUUAAAAGACGCUUACCCCCUGGAAGGAAAGUUAUGACCAACCUAGAGAGCAUAUUCAAAAGCAGAGACAUCACUUUAUCAACAAAGGUCUGUCUAGUCAAGGCUAUGGUUUUUCCAGUAGUCAUGUAUGGAUGUGAGAGUUGGACUAUAAAGAAAGCUGAGCACCAAAGAAUUGAUGCUUUUGAACUGUGGUGUUGGAGAAGACUCUUGAGAGUCCCUGGACUGCAAGAGAUCCAACCAGUCCAUCCUAAAGAUCAGUCCUGGGUGUUCAUUGGAAGGACUGAUGUUAAACCUGAAACUCUAAUACUUUGGCCACCUGAUGCAAAGAGCUGA